UCUGGUAGCAAUAGCGGAGAGGUCACACCUGUUCUCAUGCCGAACACAGAAGUUAAGCUCUCCAGCGCCGAUGGUAGUUGGGACUUUGUUCCUGCAAGAGUAGGACGCCGCCAGGC
rnacentral:rRNA from 1 species